rnacentral:rRNA from 1 species
AGUGAACGCUGGCGGUAGGCCUAACACAUGCAAGUCGAACGGCAGCACAGUAAGAGCUUGCUCUUACGGGUGGCGAGUGGCGGACGGGUGAGGAAUACAUCGGAAUCUACUUUUUCGUGGGGGAUAACGUAGGGAAACUUACGCUAAUACCGCAUACGACCUACGGGUGAAAGCAGUGGAUCUUCGGACCUUGCGCGAUUGAAUGAGCCAAUGUCGGAUUAGCUAGUUGGCGGGGUAAAGGCCCACCAAGGCGACGAUCCGUAGCUGGUCUGAGAGGAUGAUAAGCCACACUGGAACUGAGACACGGUCCAGACUCCUACGGGAGGCAGCAGUGGGGAAUAUUGGACAAUGGGCGCAAGCCUGAUCCAGCCAUACCGCGUGGGUGAAGAAGGCCUUCGGGUUGUAAAGCCCUUUUGUUGGGAAAGAAAAGCAGCAGGUUAAUACCCCGCUGUUCUGACGGUACCCAAAGAAUAAGCACCGGCUAACUUCGUG